UAGGGAAUCUUCCACAAUGGGCGCAAGCCUGAUGGAGCAACACCGCGUGAGUGAAGAAGGUCUUCGGAUCGUAAAACUCUGUUGUUAGAGAAGAACAUGCAGGAGAGUAACUGUUCUUGUAUUGACGGUAUCUAACCAGAAAGCCACGGCUAACUACGUGUCAG
rnacentral:rRNA from 1 species